GUGUACUUUGUACUCCAUAGGUAAUUUUUCAUCUCUUGCCCUCUCCCUGCCCGUGUCUUAUGAGUCUCCAAUGUCCAUUACAUAGAAUUUUAAAAGAAGUUGGAGAAAUUAUGAUAAGAUUUUCACUGUUAAUCUGAGUGACAGAAAAAAAUGGACAUUUAUUAAGAAAAUGAGGUGUUUUGGUAUCUUUUUUAGUAUAUUCUAGCUGCCCCUAAAUGAUUUUUUAAAAAGCAAAGUGUGCAUGGAGAGAAAGUGAAUGUCAUGGAAACACUUUACAAGGAGCUUGUCAGAUUUUUAAACGAGUGGGAAGGCCCAGGAGAGCACAUCUGUGCGCCCUGCGGAACUGGCCCAGAGCCUGCAGGGCCUCCUGCUGGCUCCUUCAGCAGGGUUGCAGCUCACCCAGGACUGCACAGCUCCGGCUGCACCUCACACGGCCCCGCCCUGUCCUUGUGUUGCUGGGUGUGGGGCUGAGAAUAAGGAGGCAAGGUGACACCUGCUUUCUGGGAAGCCCGCUGUCAAUGUGCAAUAGAGGCUGACAAACAGGAUCCAUCCCAACCCCACCUGCAGUUCUCCGGCUCUCAGCUCUGGCAGAAACAGGAACCCCUGGCACUGCUGUUUCUCCUUUCUGCACACGGCCCUCCUCUCUUGCACUUGCCCUCUUUUCUCUCACCUUUCUCCAUCAAAAUCCACAUUUGGAAAUGGGUCUGAUAUCAGUCAUUUAGACCUAAAUUUCUCUGUGUGUUUCAUUUGCCCCUAACUGUGGCAAGAAAGUCAUUCCACGUCAAAGAAGCACCAGAUACCCUUGAGCACAAGUGGGGAGUUGGUAUUUUUCCAGUACAGGAUGCCAUUGCAAAAGGGAGGGAGACCCAGCAAUCCCUCUUCUGGGAAUAUAACCUAAGGACUUGCAAUCAGUAUGUUGAAGAGAUGUCUGCACUUGCAUGUUUGUUGCAGCACUAUUCACAAUAGCCAAGAUAUGGAUGCAAUGUCAGCAUCCACAAUUGGAUGAAUGGAUAAAGACAAUGUGCUCCAGCUGCUCUUUUACAUUGAAAGAAAUGGAGGCACAGAAAAGCAGAGCAACUUUUGCAGGGCCACACAGCCUAUCAUGUCAAAGAAGAUCAAGAACACUGAAG